UUUUUCCAAUAUUCUGUUGCUUAUAGGGGACUCAAAACAUUUGUACUCCACUGAAGGGAAUAUUUUGCCAUCCUAGCAUUAUACAGUGGAGUACUGCAUUCUUUUAGGGUAGUUUUUUCACCCUAAUGCUUGAUAGGAACAUUUGUCCUGAUCCAGAAGGAAAAGCUGGGAUUUGGCAUGAAGUAAAAAGAUGAUAAGGAAACAUGUUCAUUUUGUCUAUUCAACAAAGUAAUCUUGGCAAACACUUGUUUUAAAUAAUAGCCCAAUAUAAGAGUAUACUUAAAUCAGCAUUUGCUUUCGUGAUAGAGAAUUUUUAGGGAUGGUUUGGGGUUUUUUGUUUUUUGUUUUUUUAACAAGAAUAACUUGGUGCUUCUGUAAUACAUGGAAAAUAAAUUAGUCUUCAUCAUAGAAGUUAAUUUAGGCAGAAAUAAUAACAGGCUAUCAGGGAGAGAAGUCAUUCAUGCCUUGGCUCAUUUAGGAGGUUACCAUUUAAGUAGAUAUGGAACCAUAGGUAGAUGAAACAACACUUAAAAGAGCAGGUCAUUUCUUAAAAAGUACAAGGGAGUUAACCCUUCACUAGGUUUAAAAAGUGCUUUAACUCCUGUUGCCAUAUAACUUUACAAAUGUCCUCUAUCAACGAUGGAACUAUCAAUGUGAACAUAGUGGAAAUUGAGAGCCUUUUGAACAAAACACCAGGUUUACAGGGAUGCCAAAUGUCUUAAGAUGAUUUUUUUUUUUUUUUAAUUUUCAUUUACUUGGGUAAACUGCUAAGGGAAAUCACCAAGCCACUAGAGGGAGCUAUGAUGCAAAAUCAACCAGGAAAUCCCUACUGGAAAGGGUCCAUAAUGCAAGGUGGAAGGAAGCCAACUACCUGAAUGUAUAGCAGCUGUAAAGGGGGGGAGGGGGGAAUUGGUGAGUUUUCUUGCUAUAACUUGGCAUCUGUCUUAUCAUCUGUUUAGCAAAACCCUUUCUCUUUCCAACCUGUGGAUCCUUUUAGGUUUUGAAUAGAACUUGAGUAAUGAGCUUAAAUAAACCAGAAAAGUAUUUCUAGAUUUUUGUGAGAAAAUACUGAAGAUGUGAAUCUGCAUGUUUUCUGCCAACCUUGUACAUCUUGAGGCUGACUGGUUCCUUGCUGUGCUACCUGCCUCUGCUACUGAUCCAAACUGUGGAACUUCUCCUGCCUCCCUCCCCAAGGCCUCCAGGCGGUAUCCAAUUGUGUGUACAGGAAAAGUUGGAGAUGGUGACCUUGAUUAGAAUGUGCCUGGAGAGGAAUAAAUGGAGAAGCUAAGAAACAGUUGGUUAUGAAAGAUGUUGAAGUCUUGAAAUAAUGUGACCAUCUGAGAAAAUUUUUUAAACCACAGUUUAUAAAAAUAUCACUGAUACAGCCUGCCCCCUCAAGCCUUGUGACAGGAGACUUCUUAUACUGGAGACACUUGUUUAAUAAUAGCUUUGUCUCUGAUAUUCCCAGUAGCUACCUCUAUGUGAGUAAAGGAGAGAAAACGUUCAGACAUCAUCAUGUAAAGUACCAGUAGCAGUGACGCCUACACGGAAGACUUGGAACUGCAAAGAGGCUGGGGUCACCUCAGUGACAUCUGACGCUGUCCAACCAGAAGUUCGAUUUUUGUUUGGGGGAGUGAGGAAGCUGUAUUAAAGGACUAAAAUACUUUCUUGA